UACAGAGGGUGCGAGCGUUAAUCGGAAUUACUGGGCGUAAAGGGCGCGUAGGUGGAUAAUUAAGUCGGAUGUGAAAUCCCCGGGCUUAACCUGGGAAUGGCAUACGAUACUGGUUAUCUGGAGUUGAGUAGAGGGAAGUGGAAUUUCCGGUGUAGCGGUGAAAUGCGUAGAUAUCGGAAGGAACACCAGUGGCGAAGGCGGCUUCCUGGACUUAAACUGACACUGAGGCGCGAAAGCGUGGGGAGCAAACAGG
rnacentral:rRNA from 1 species